rnacentral:rRNA from 1 species
UCUGGUAGCAAUGGCGAGAAGGUCACACCCGUUCCCAUCCCGAACACGGAAGUUAAGCUUCUCAGCGCCAAUGGUAGUUGGGGCAAAAGCCCCUGUGAGAGUAGGACGCUGCCGGGC